rnacentral:lncRNA from 1 species
AGCCGCGUCCACAUGGCUUCAGGUGUUCACAUGGCAGUAAACGGGCCCCUGCUCUCCUGGGCGCCCCAGCGCGGCGCCCUCCCGCCCACAUCCCGGCCCAGCCCCGCUGGCCUCGCCUCCAGCCCGUAGCCAAGAGGCGAGCGCGGCCGGUGCCCCCGGGGCUGCCAGGGGCCCCGAAGCAGGCGGCGCUGACUCCCGGACGCCGCCCGCUCACACCCGCCGCCUUUGCACCCAAGGCCUCGCGCGACCAGCAGGUCACUGAUUCUACUACCAUCUGUCAGCGUGGAUUGAUUGAGGAGACUGGCCCUGCUCGGCAGAUCAGUGACUUGUGCGAAGUGAGCCAGGGUGUCGGUGCCUUCAGAGCAGGCGGAUGUCCUUCCUCACUUGCCAGCUCUCGGUCCCACAGAAACUUCUGCUCUCCAGGUUUGCCCCUCCACUCUGCCCUCCAGGAUAGAAGUGUGGCAUCCUAAUCUGGGAUGCAUCCAUCUCUCCCCCUGGACUGUGAGCAUAUGCAGGGCAGAGACACCUCUGCUUCUCUUGGGUCUCCGGCAUCCUGUGCAGGAUGGGGCCACUGAGGUGCAAAGAGUUUAACUUAUCCCAAGUCACACAGUUUGGAAGAGGCUGAGCUGGUAUUUGAACCCAGGUUUUCAGAGGCUGCACUCUUAACCACCAAGCUUCCCAGCACUCAGCAAACACUGGAAAGACAGAGAUGGACCUAGACAGUCAGUAGGACCAAAAGUCUGCAGGCCGAUAGGGAAAGAAUGUAAGAGGACGGCAUGGGCAGCGCCAGCCCCUCCAGCAGUCAUAUAUUAAGCCCUGGACACUGGGCAGCUCGGGCAGGUCGGGGGGCCUCAGACUCUCGGACCCCAUGCCUGGAAGACCACGGUCUGCCCAACAAGCAGCAGCUGCUGUGAAUCGACUUACACAUCUUCCCCACAGGUGAGCAGAGAGCUAACACCUGAGGAUAGGCCAAGAAACGGGAAGCCCGUGCAACCUGAGCGCACAGAUCACCCCCACCUGCCCGGCACUCACUGUCCCCAGUGGCUGGACUCUCAUCGGGCCAGUCACUGAGCUGGCGCCAGCCUGGUCUCACCAGUGUGUGUCUUUAAAUCAUCCAAUUUCUUCAGCUGUAAAUUGGGCUGGGAGGGGCCAGGUGAGCUGCCUGCCUCAGGGGAGUCGGCGCCCUUACCUGAGUGAUCCCAUUCACUCCUCACAACAAACCCAUGAGGCAGGGAUUGUCAUCUUCAUUGUACAGAGCAGGAAAUGGGUGCACACAGAGGUUAAGAGACUUGCCCAGGUCACACAGCUAGGAAGAGGCUGUGAUUUGAACUCAGUCUUCUGGCUCCAAAGCCCCCACAGAGUCACUCAGGGCACUACAAAGAGUUAACCUGAAUAUGAAAUGAUCUAAGAGUCGCAGUGACAAAGGCAUGCUCUAAGCGCUUUUCCUGCAGUAACUUGCUUAAUCCUUACAACAACCCUAUAAAGUGGGUACUGUUCUCGCCUCAUUUUGCAGAUGAGGAAACUGAGGCACAGAGCAGCUCGGAGGGGGCAGAGCUGAAUCUGACAGGCUACAGGGCCCCUGCGUUGCUUUGUUAUAAGAUGACAAUAAGGAAGUUCCUUUCCUUUGGGAUUAUUUCUGCCUGAAAGCUCAAGACUUUUAGCCACAUCAUUGUCUGGGCUCCACGGGAAGGCAGUGCCACAUGCUGAGGCAUGCUGGGAAAAGACUUUGUUCCAUCCUGUUUUGUUGACAUGCUCUUCAUUUUUAAGCCUGAAACCGAAGCUUCCUGCUAAGAAUUCAAACCAUGGAGAAAAACGCAGCCAUGAUAACGGCCACUACUUCCUGAGCCUCCAGUGUUCCCUGUGCUUGGGGAUCCAUAUAUGUCACUUAACCUUAACCUUCACAACACCAGGGCAGCCUCCAUUUUCACAAGUGAAGAAAUGGAGGCCCAGAGUCACUUAGAAGAUGCUCGAAGGUGCACAGCUGCUAAGUGGUGGUGCUGGGAUUUGUCCUCAGGUCCUCAAGAGUCCUGACUCUUAUGUGCUGGCUCCCCACGGAGGCGUGGAGUCUUGUUUGCUGGGCAUUUGACAGAAAUGUUUCUGCUCAUCUUCUGCCACAGGUUGGUCCUUCAGCGUCAAGAUUCCUGGGCCACUUAUUAAUAGAAGGCACCAGGACACAGGUGCAGGGAUGCAGAGCUGGAUGCUGCCUUCUCAAUAGGAGAAGCCAAGAAACGCAGAUGCCGAUGCUUAAUCAACUCCGUCUCUCCCUCUAGUGACUCGGGGAUAGCUGCCCUGAUGCCAAGGCGAUUGUCUUCUGGAAGCAGCCACGCCGUGUGAGGUUCCUCAUCACUGCCCUGCAUCUCCCUGCGAGCUCUCGGGGAUAAUUGCAAAAUCACGUUUGAUUCCAGGGGAGCAGAAAGCAGCAGGAGCCGUGAAUUCUCCAACUCUUAACUGGUCCUCGACUGGAGCCACUUUUCCCUGCCCACCCAUCCCUGUGGCGGAUUCAUUACAGUUAUCCAAAGCCGGUUUUAACUUUGCUCCCCCUGGCUCAGAAGUCUGUCAGUGGGUCCUGAGCGGCUUCACCAUUCAAGUUUAUUCCUAUCAGCCUGGAAUACAAUGCUCUAUCUGGCUCCGCUUGCUUCUCCAAACCUUCUCUCCCAGGUCUCAUUCUGCCUCUCUGUCUAACUAGACAAGUUGGCUUCCUGUCCUGUGCCUGUCUGCUCCCUGCAGCAGGAAUGCCGUUCCCUCUUCCCUACAGAUUGAAAUUAUAUCCUCUUUCAAGUCUUACUCAAAUGCCACCUCCUCCACAAACUCUUAACACUUAUUCAUUCAUUCAACAAACAUUGACUGAGCCCUUAUGACAAGCAUUGAUCCCAAGGGUCCCUGUGGUCAUGAAGUUUAUGGUGCCAUGGAGCUGUUAGAAAAAGAAUCAUCACAUAAAUAAUCAUCUGAUAACAGCCAUGAUACAAAUUAGUAAGAAAGUGUGGCAGGAGCACAGCAGAUGUACAAUAGGGACCCUGAGCCUUGGGGAUCUAGGACAUUUGAGCUGAGGCCUGAAAGACAAGUAGGAAGUAACCACAUGGUGAAGUUGGAGGAGAGCUCCAGGCAGAGGGCACGGCAUGGGCAAAGGCCCUGCGGUAGGAGGGAACAAGUAGAUUUCCAGGAAGGGCACAGGGGCCUGCAGGGUAAUGUAAGUGAAAUGAGAAAGCUGGAGAUGCAGCUGGAGCAGGACAGUACAGGCCACAGAGGCUUUGCGACUUUAUCCCUGGGCAAAAAGAGGAGAUGAUGAAGGAUUCUGAGCACAGGACACAAGCCAGUAUGUAUUUAGACGCGAUCCUGCCCUGUGGCUGAGCCUCUUCUGAGAAGUGCAGGCCCUGUGUCACGUCACCCUGAACCUCAGUCAUCAGGGUUUUGGAUGUGAGUUUCCAUAUCCCUCUUCCUAGGCCAAGCUCUCAAAGGCAAGGCUGACCUCUGGUCUUCAGCUUCAUCCUCAUCAGCCAGGCCAGUGCCCAGCACAAGGAGCUGCUCCAAAAACAUACGUGGGUUGAACCAGUGACCAGGACAAGACGCUUAUCAGCAUUUCCCUGCGAAGGAGCAGGGCUGCCUGUAAAGCCUUCCACAUUCUCUAGAAAUUACAAAGUUCAAGGGUUUUAGUGAGGCCACGACUCAGGGAGCCCUUGAGAGCCAAGACACCAACUCUCAGAGGCUGUUCCCCCUGCGCGGCAGAUCCAGACGCUCAGCUCCCAGGCCUGGAGGCUGGCGGCUUAGCCCAGGGCACAGGAGGAGGCUGCCUGGGUUUGGCGCUGACUUACAGCAGGUGCUGAGGGAAUGCUGAGGAGAGGCAAGGCUGAUUCAAGAGGCCGACAACAGAGAACAUUCCUAGAGCUCUCCCGCCAGCUAGGCAUGGUGCUAAGUGCAUUACCUGCGUCCACUCGUAACAUCCUCACAACACUGUGAAUACGAUGACCAUCCCCAUGUACAGGCGUGGACGCUAAGGCUCAGAGCAAUAAAUAAUUAGCCUGAGAUCACACGGCAGGUGAGUGCAGAGGCCGGAUCUGAACCCACACAUUGCCCUUAAGCAACCCCAUGUCCUGAGCAAAGGUGAGCAGAAACAUCUUGGGAAGAGGGAACCACGACUGUAUCUUCCUCAGCAGACAUGAUGGUGCAGGGUACCCCUUCCCCUGCCCACCUGACGACCAUUAUUCCCAUUAUCAGUAUAUCCCUCUGUGGGCAAAUGAUGACAGACAUGCAUGGUAACCACUUCUUCACAAGUUUUGUGUCUCCCCAGCCUCCUCCCCUAGGGCUCUCUAGGCUUCCUUUACCCGUCCUGCCUCAGAUGGACUCCCAGCAUCAUCAUCUGCCUCUGUGCCUUCUUGGUAGUAGGUGGGUGUGAAAAAGAAAGGAAGGGCCAGGUGCAGUGGCUCAUACCUGUAGUCCCAGCACUUUGGGAGGCUGAGGCGGGCGGAUCACCUGAGGUCAGGAGUUCGAAACCAGCCUGGCCAACAUGGUGAAACCCUAUCUCUGGUGGCAGGUGCCUGUAAUCCCAGCUACUUGGAAGGCUGAGGCUGGAGAAUCACUUGAACCUGGGAGGCAGAGGUUGCAGUGAGCAGAGAUUGCGCCACUGCACUCCAGUCUGGGCAACAGAGCGACUCCCUCUCAAUAAAUAAAAUAAAAUAAGGAAGGACAGAGGGCAAUGUGACCUUCGGCAAGCUCCCUAAGCUCCUGAAGCCUCAGCCUUUUCACCCGUAGAACAGGGACAUUAACAUCACCCCCGAGUGAGGGCUGCAGGCACACAGUGACUGCGCUUCUCAGUGCCACAAGUGCUGUUGCCAUCAUUCCAGCCUCAGGUGCUCCGUGAGGUGGGACGAUUCACCCCAUGAGCAAACAGGCUCAGGGAGGUGUGGUGCCUACAGUCACCCAGCAGACACAGCGGAGCAAGGAGGAAGCCACACCUGUUGGAUCCCAAAGCUUCUGCUGAGGGGAGGAGGGAGAGUGAAUGAGCCACUGGGGGCCUCCGUGGCAAUCGGGCUCACAAAGCCAUGUGUGGGCUGGAUGUGGCUCCCCAGCCCCGUAGACACCACCCCAGGUGCUCCUCACAGGUGAUGGGGUGUGUUGUCUAUGGGGCUCUUGUGCCCUCUGGGGGCCUCUGGGGAGCUGCUACUGGGCUGGGCCCUCUCGGUCCCUGAGCCUAGACCAGGUGAGUUACUAGCAGGGACAGGAGGAGAAAUGGGAAAGCUAGGCAAGAGGUCACUCAUCUGUGGGCUGAGUGCAGAAUGGGAGGGAAGAAAGCAUCCUUUCUGGAAAAAUCAAUGGGCAGAUGAUACCGCCCAAGUCACUACCUACAUGGAAACCUUCCAAGAAAACCAAAGCAACAAGAGAAUCACAGCCCCUUAGAGCAGUGGCGGGCCUGAGAGGUGAACAGACCCAAGUCCGCCUCACACAGCUAGGGAAAUCGAAGUCCAGGAUGGUGGUCACAACUCGCUCAAGGCCCCACGGUGUGUAGGUGACUCCGCCACGUAUGAGGGGCGUCCAGCCCCAGGCAGCUCAUUUACAGUGGUGGGUGGGCCUUUGUGGUCUCCAUGCCUCACACUCCAGCCAUCCACUUCCCUCUGUUCUUGCCUUUGCUAAGCAAGGGGACUGGUUUAGCUUCACCCAGAAACUACCAAAUCUCUGGGGCUUUUCCCUGCACACUUUUAGUUUCUAGGCUGCCCUGGCCCCUGCUCUGCCCCUACAUGUGGCUCAGGGUGGGGAGAGACUAUUAAGCUAAUACAUAGUUAGGCAACUAGAACACAGCCUGCAAAUCUCGCAGUCAGUGCUCCUCAGUCUUGGCUAUUAUUACCAGACACGAUGACCAUCUCCAUUUUACAACUAGGGAAACUGAGGCUCAGAUGGAUUGAGUGAUUAGACCCCAGACACUAGGUGCUAGAGCCUUUGCUCUCUGGAGUUAUCUUUUUUUAAGCUAACAAUUAUUCAGUGCCCCCUGGGAGCCAGGCUCUGGCUGACUGCUUUGUGAGAAUGAUCUCAUGUAAUCCUCACCUCAGCCCUGUGAUGUAGGUAUUAUUAUUACCCAAGAACACAAAGACUCACAGAGGGCAGGUAACUUCCUUGAAGCCACACAGCUAGGAAAUGGGAGAGCCAGGAUUGAACCCAGGCAGUCUGGCCUCAGGACGUUGGCCACCCCUCUGUGCUGCCAUCUCCGUUGGGGAUAGGUCUGGGGGACUAGCCACCCCAGUCUCCCACAGGAGCCUCCAGUCAUCUCGGGGUCCCAGGCUGGAGGAGCUGCUCCUGAACCCUUCACCCCUUGAUCGGCAUCCAAACUGCUUCCCGCCAAUUUGGUUCCAGCUCAGAAUGUGGCCUGGGCUGGUCCUGAGACUCCAAAUUAAAAGAAGACCCAAGCUGGUCUUUAAAUUCAAAUCUGAGGCCAUCUGGGAAUCCCAGCACAAGGCAGCCUGAGAGAGGCUGGCUUGGGAGCAGCUAGAACAAGCCAGCUUUGCAAGAUCCUGAAAACGGGUCCAAAGAAGGCGAGUUUGCAAUGACUGCGGUGUCCAUGUGGCACCGCCCAGUCUGUCAUCAGGUCAGGUUCUCCCUUCCUCCACAAGUGGCUCCCCCAGCCAGUGAAACAAGGGCCCCACUUCCACUGUCGCCGCCUCUCCCCACUCUUCCCUUCCAACGGCUUCAGCCACAGAGUGCAACCCGCCUCUUACACCUUGGAUGCGCUGUUCUUGCACUUCCCUCUGAUGGUACACCCUCUCCUGCCUUAGCACGGCAAACUCCUACUCACUCUUCAAGGCCUUCAAAUGCCACCUCCUCUGUGAAGCCUCUCUUGAUUUCCCUGUCAGACCUCACAGGGGUACUCAGGGAAAAGAUUUCUGUGGGGAAAAAACCCCUUGGGGUGAGUUUGCCCAAAGGAAGUGAGCCCAUCACACCGUCUAGGACAUGGGGAGAGGGCAGCUGUUCCAUCCUGGUGGUCCCACUUCCUGGGGGGUCUGAGUCUGGGUGUGUUCCUCUGAGCUCUAGGAACAGGGCUCCUCUAUGCCCAGCUCUGGGCAGGUGCCAGGAGUGCAGAGGGGAGGCCUUAAGUGUCCCUGUAACCAAGGAUGGUCACCCAGGCUCUGCACCCAAAGGCCUAACAGGGAGACAGACCCACGUCUGUGUGGUCAGGACUGUGAGAGGGCAAAGAAGGUGGGCCAGGCACAGGACCCAAGUCCACCUGAGAGAAGGACAGGGAAGGCUUCCUGGAGGAAGUGAAUUGAGACCAGAAGACUUGACCAGAAAAGAGGAGGUGGUGACGUCAGGUUAGGGACCAGCUCCAGGGGAAGGGAGACUGGAAGGAGAGCCACAGCCUUCCCCUGACCUUCUGCCUGUAGAUGGUUCCUGCCCUGGCUUCUCAGCUUAGAACUCACAGUCUCUGCUAGGGCCUGAGCUACGGCCUGGCCCUGGUAAAACUCACUCCACCAUGCCCUCUCUGGAGGCCUGCUGUAAACACACUGACCACCUGCGCCCAUGUCACUGCACCUGCCUGAGCCCUGUGGCAGCCCAGAGACUUGUACCAUGGCCGCUUCCUGGCCCAGGGCAGGCUCAAGCUCCCUUGCCCUCAUGGGCCCGUCAGAGGAGUCAAGGUCCAGGAGGCUGUGCUAACAGCCCCUGGCUGCAGAGCUGUUUGCCAACCUCCAGGCCAGCCAGGCCAGCACUGUAGCCGGGGGAGCGCCCAGCCCUGGCCUUCGUUCUGCAAAGCCCCAUCCCAGCCUCGGUCCCAGGUUCUCGGUCUCUGGUCACGCUUGGGAAGCAGCUGCGGGCAGAAGUAGCCUUCAGAGACCUCAGGCUGCCCAGGCUAAGAGAAUGAUGGAACGGUGACCCUGGCUGGGGGCAGAGACCUGGGAGGGAGGCCGGAGAGCUGGGACAGCGCCUGGGGGUUGGGAGAGCUGCCCAGGCCUCCUCCGGGGUGAGCUGAGGAGGGGCUGCCAUGCCUGGGAGGAGGGGGCCGGCUCCUCCUGCCUCGCCGGCCUGUCUGUCUCCAGCUCUUCACUGUAAAAUAAAUGCAAGAAGCACACGCCAGAUAGAAAAAAAGGGAGGGCCAAAUAAAGCCCCACGCCGCCCAGCACGGGCUCCCUCCGUGGGUCUGGGCCAGGGCCUCGGCCUGGGUUACUUGCUGCUCCUUUUCCCGGGAAACCACUGGUGCCAAAUUUGCAUUUACCACAAACAGAGACAACACAAUGUCAUAAUCCUUCUCCUGUCAUUCUCCGCUCUCUUCCUCCUCCCACCUCAGACACACACACGCUAACACAAAAUGACGGCUCCCUCGACAGCCUGAAUGAGCAAAGCCCUCGAUCUGCCUCUUCAUUGUUGGCGUUUCUCUCGGCCCUCGCUCCGUGCCCAUCGCCCAACUCGCAGCAGACCACCCACUGCCCCUCCUUUGUCCCGCAUCACCACUGACAAAUGGCCUGCUGGAGGUGGAAGAACAUGCCUGGAAAUAGUGGAGGGGGGGAGAGGGAGCAGCCAGCCCCAACCCCCCGCCGCUCUGCACCCUCACACCCGGGCUGGCUGCGCACGGCGGCUGGAUCUGGACCGGAGGGGACGGGGGCGCGG